GUUCUUUUGUUUAUAUAAAAGAUCUGACCUGCCCAAUGAUUAUUAUUUAAUGGCUGCAGUAUUUUGACUGUACAAAGGUAGCAUAAUCAUUUGUCUUUUGAUUGAAGUCUAGAAUGAAUGGUUUGAUGAAAAAUAUAUUUUCUUUAUUUUAUAAUGAAAAUUUAAUCUUUUAGUUAAAAAGCUAGAAUUUGAUUAUAGGACGAGAAGACCCUAUAGAACUUUAUUUUUGAUUUCAUAUGUUUAAUAUGGUAUAUUAUAAAAUAUAUGAAGGUUAAAUUUUGUUGGGGUGACAGAAAAAAUAUAAUAACUUUUUCUAUUUUUUUCAUAUUCAUUGAAUUUUUGAUCCUUUUUUAGGGAUAUAAGAUUAAGUUACCUUAGGGAUAACAGCGUUAUUGUUUUGGAGAGUUCAUAUCGAUAAAAUAGUUUGCGACCUCGAUGUUGGAUUAUAAUAAGAUAUGGGAGUAGAAUAUUAUUUUCUAGGUCUGUUCGACCUUUAAAUUUUUACAU
rnacentral:rRNA from 1 species